rnacentral:lncRNA from 1 species
AAAGAAGCAGAAGGAUAUUAAAGUGAGCCUCCCAAAGGAAAACGUGGAUCUACUUACCAACGCAGAAAAUGAUACACACGGAUUCGAUUUAGGCUGGAGUACAGUAACUGCAACCUCCGCCUCCCAGGUUCCGGUGAUUCUCAUGGCUCAGUCUCCCAAGGAGCUGGGAUUACAGGCACGCUACAUUCAAAUGACUUGGAAGAGCAGGUUCUCUGAGCCAGGAUACUAAAGUCCCUGUUUAGGAAAGAGCCACGUUGUAUGUUUACCCUACCACAAAGAUACAGAAUUCUGGAGGAAAGUGGCUCUGGGAAUUGAACAGUGGCUCAGUGAUGUUGGGGCCACCAAGUCUGCAAUUCUCCCUACCUGUUCUUCAUGGUUGUAAGAUGACUGCUGCAAUUCUCGGCAUCAUGUGCAUGUUAAUGUCAGGAGGAAGAAAGGAAGAGGGAGCACUGGGAUGUUACAUUCAUUUUGUCAGGAAAAGCAAAGCCUUUCCAGACAGCUCCGAAACUUGCUUACCUCUCAUUGGCCAGCACCAUCACUUGACCACUUGUCCACUCCUAGCUGCAAGGAAAGUGGCAAAGUAGAAGGUAUUUGAGAAUGUCUGCUGGGUUAGCCAAAACAAUAGUGACUUCUACACCCAAUUUUCUGGGCACUGCAGAAGUAUCCUUGAGUCCUAUGUGAUCAGAGGGAGAGCAAACCUCAAUAAUGAAACAGAUUCAAUUUCCAUCACCCAGUGAGACACCAUGGGAUUAGAAUAAAUUUUUAAAAAAACAAAUUGAAAAAAAUGCAUUUUUAAAACAACAAAAUCAGAAAGGAUGAAAGGUGAUAUUUCUAGCAUAUCAGUUUGUGGUGGUAAAUUAAUUACCUUAUACAAAGGCCUCAGUGACUUUCUUCUCCUUACCUAACGAAUCAUCUUUAAAAUAAGUAAAAUAAAGAAACAAGAGCAGCAGCAGAUGCUUCCUAAAAAGAAGUUACCAAAUCUGUUCACCACAAACCUGAGAAUUCAACUGUGGACAUUUGGACACCAGCAAUGAACAUGAAACUCAGCUUAUGAGGCAUAUUUGGCUAAAGGUCAAGGUGACUUAAAGUUCAUCAUAGGACAUCUACAAUUUGCAAAGCAGGUGACUGGAUAUGGACUCCUUCCAAGUCUCAUUUAAUUGGAUAAUGCCUACGUUUUAAGUAUCAGAAAGGGACCAUAAAGGUGCCAGCCUAAGGAACACGUAAAACGUGGGAACAGACAAACAAGCUGCUGCCUAUUACAGAGAUAGAUAAUUAACUUUGGACCAUUACAUGCAAUUCAUCAGCUUAUCUUUUUCAAACUUUAUAUAAGAAGUCAUUUCCCAAUGGUAACCACUUGCCAGCUGCAACUUUGACGCAUAUUAUCAGGAUAGGUGAGAUUGAUGGGGGCCCUUUGAACUCUUCCCAGGGAAUUAUCUUUAUAAUGUUACAGUUUUCUCUAUAGCAUGGUCAUAUUGUUAACAUUGGUUAUAAGGUCAUAUGGUUAGUAUGGUUAGUAUUGGUGGCUCACAGCUGUAAUACCAGCACUUUGGGAGGCCAAGGUGGGAGGAUCACUUGAGCCCUGGUGUUCAAAACCAGCUCUGGAAACAUAGCAAGACCUUGUCUCUACAAAAAAAAAUUAAAUAAAUUAAAAGAUUAGCUGGGCAUGGUGGCACAUGCCUGUAGUCCUCACUACUUGGGAAACUAAGGUGGGAGGAUCCUUUGAGCUUGGGAGGUUGAGGCUGCAGUGAGCUGUGGUUGUGCCAUGGCACUCCAGCCUG